UAGCGGAUGGGUUGCAAGCAGCUUGGACUGCUCCCCUUUAAAUGCGCACACACCACACACACACACACACUCUCUCACACACUGGUAAUCUCAUCACUAGCUCUGUGUGUGUGUGUGUGUGAGAGAGAGAGAGAGAACGGGAAGGGGGAGGGCUUUGUUUCCAUUGGCUGCUCCUUGCCUUCCCACCCACAUCUCUUCCACAUCACCUUGGUGUCUCCCUAAAUAAAACCAGCCCUCCUUAUCGCAGCGAGGAAAUCAAGCGGUAGAGUUGCAAUGGAUUUUAAAUAAACAUUUUACCCCCCCUCCCCACACACACUGUCCCUGCCAGGCUGCUGGGGAGAGCACGCAGCAAGCACCUUCCCCACUGCCACCCAAACACUCACAUGCAGCUGCCCUGCUUGCUGGCUGCUUCUGUUGCCUCUUUCACCCCAUGAGGGAAAGCUGGAGUGCACGAGAAACUGGCUGCAGUCAGAGGAGGGAAGUGGCACCUUCAUGACCAAUCCUUUCUCCAUGGAUUUAAAGGAGAGCACCAGCGAGGGAAGCCUGGGGAGCCUCCAGCCCUCCAGCCUCCAGAUCUUUGCCAACACCUCAACCCUCCAUGGAAUCCGCCACAUCUUUGUCUAUGGACCUAUGACUGUGCGGCGGGCCCUGUGGGCUCUGGUGUUUGUGGCUUCCCUGGGCCUUCUCCUGGUGGAGAGCUCCGAACGGCUGGUCUACUACUUCUCCUACCAGCAUGUCACCAGAGUGGAUGAGGUCGUUGCCCACAGCCUGGUCUUCCCAGCUGUUACCAUCUGCAACCUCAACGGGUUCCGCUUCUCCCGCCUCACUACCAAUGACCUGUACCAUGCUGGCGACCUAUUGGCCUUGUUGGAUGUCAACCUCCAGGUCCUUCACCCUCAUCUCGCUGACCCAGCAGUCCUGGCCAUCCUGCGAGAGAAGGCCAACUUCCAGCAUCACCGAGCCAAAGUCUUCAGCAUGAGUGAGUUCAUGGGACGUGUGGGCCAUGACAUGAAGGAGAUGUUGUUAUACUGCAAGUUCCGGGGGCAGGAGUGUGGCGAGAAGAACUUCACAACUGUGUUUACGAAAUAUGGGAAGUGCUACAUGUUUAACUCAGGAGAAGAUGGGCAUCCUCUGUUGACCACAUUCAAGGGUGGGACAGGCAAUGGCCUGGAGAUAAUGCUGGACAUUCAGCAGGAUGAGUACUUGCCAAUAUGGGGAGAAACAGAUGAAACAACAUUUGAAGCAGGAGUCAAAGUCCAGAUCCACAGUCAGUCUGAGCCGCCGUUUGUUCAGGAACUUGGGUUUGGCGUGGCGCCUGGGUUCCAGACUUUUGUAGCCACGCAAGAGCAAAGGCUGACGUACCUUCCACCUCCAUGGGGUGAGUGCCGCUCCUCAGACUUUGGCCUGGACUUCUUUCCCAUCUACAGCAUCACUGCGUGCAGGAUAGAUUGUGAGACCCGCUACGUGGUGGAAAAUUGCAACUGCAGAAUGGUCCACAUGCCAGGAGAUGCUCCGUUCUGCACGCCGGAGCAGUAUAAAGAGUGUGCAGAGCCUGCGCUAGUGGUUCUUGGUGAAAAGGACAGCAGUUACUGUGUGUGCCAAAUGCCGUGCAAUUUGACGCGCUACAACAAGGAACUCUCCAUGGUGAAGAUCCCCAGCAAGACCUCAGCCAAGUACCUGGAGAAAAAGUUCAACAAGUCAGAGAAAUACAUCUCGGAGAAUAUUCUUGUGCUCGAUAUAUUCUUUGAAGCCCUCAACUAUGAGACCAUUGAGCAGAAGAAAGCAUAUGAAGUGGCAGCUUUACUUGGUGAUAUUGGAGGUCAGAUGGGCCUUUUUAUUGGUGCUAGUAUCCUCACCAUUCUGGAAAUAUUUGACUACAUCUAUGAGCUGAUCAAGGAGAAGUUGUUAGAUCUUCUUGGCCAGGAAGAGGAGGAAGGAAGCCACGAUGAGAAUGUGAUGGAGAGCUGAGACUGAAGGAAGAAUUGGUUGCCUAAGGCCACCUAGUGAGUUCAUGACUGAGGUCAGUUGUUUAGAAGGGAAUGUCUGGACAAAAUGAAAACUGCUUGCCUCUCAUGUUGCUUAAGCUAGAAAGUCUACAGAUAAUGUGCCAUUGUGGGACAAGGUGUGCUGGCACAUCAUAAAUACUCAUUGGAAGAUGCACAAUGUAUCAGGGAGCAGUUCCAGGAAUAAAAGGCUAUUUGAUCUAUUUCCAAAGAGACCUCUGGCCUGAACAGCUUUUAAGGGUUGUGGGGGAAGGAUUGCAGCAGGAAGCAGCUAAGGUGGGUAGAUUGUCUACAGUUAAUUUCCUAGUAAAGAUGACACAUAUUCCUCAUAGAAUGCCCAGAAGAAUAGAGGAAAAGUGGAAGAGAAGGGGCUUGUGAAAUAGGUAUAUAUGAAUUUGGUUUGUGCAUUGUGUCUAACCAGCUGUGGAAAGAGCAAGCUUCUCUAAUGCAGGUAAUUUAACAAUUGCAAAAGAGCUAGUAGGAAAAUGAACAGUGCAAUUCCAUCCCUGUCUACUCAAAAGCCCCACUGAGUUCAAUGAGGCUUUCUCCCCUAUGCAAGGGAAUAGGAUGUGCAGCCUAAGUGCAUAGCAUUUCUGUAUCUAGUAGGUCUUUUUUCAAGCUACAAUUAGCUUCCAGGUCUUAAGCCCUAAACCUCAGCAAAACAUGCCCAAGAACUACACACAACAUGCCUUAAAGAGUUUCCUGCAGCUUCAGCAAAGCUGAAACACCCUUUCACCAAGAAUGCCUCCCGCCACCUCCAUUUAUUUAUUUGAAAACUAUGUAAAUACUACCUAAUGUUUUGAAGCUGUGUGUGACACAAAACUAGGAAGCACAAUCAAAACAAUAGAUCUGUAUAAAGACACAAAGCAAAAUAGGAAUACGUAUGCAAUCCCAGCUGAUGGGCUGUGUUGUGUGCAAGUAAGGUCUGUGGUCAGCACAUUGCCUUUAUGAACAAAACAUGUUUCCAGCACGUGGCGAAAAGGUAGUACGUUUUUUAUAUGGGGGAGGCUGUUCCAAAGGGUAGGUGUGUCAUUUCUGUAAAAGGCCUCUUACAAGUGAAUUCAAAGUGGAACAUUGACACUGUGGUGCCACCAAGAGGAUUUCAACUGCUUAUCUCUGUUGAAGGUAUGUAGGAUUUUGCCAAAGAGUGUUUGAUGAAUUGCCGUUUCUUGCUCCUUUUAAAAAACGAACCCAGAUGCAACAUAGCAAUAUAUAAUAAAGAACCUCUGCACAUAUAAGUGCUUUC